AGGAAAGACUGCUUGCCCAUGAAACAUACUUGUUUUUCAUAUGUGACUUCUCUGACCAUUAACUGGAAGACUAGAUGUCCUUGCUUUUCCAAGCUGCUUGGAUCUAUCGCAUACAUUGCCUGCCCUCCAGGUGCUUGACAGAGAGAAAAUCCUGAAAUGCUCAAGAGGAACAAUAUUUGUAGAAAUUCCUGAAAAUCAAGCAUUUAUUCAACAUUGAGCAAAUGUUUGCAUGCUUACUGUGUGGAGUACAAGAGUCACGGAAAAAGCAAGGACAAACUACGUUUAAUAUUCUGGUGGAGCAAUAGGAUGUGACUACAAAUACUAUUCAGAAUAAAUCUGGCUUUAUUUAAAGAAAAACAAACUAAAACCUACCCCAAAUACCUCAGACUGGAAUAUUUUAUCUUUGCUUCUGGCAUGAAAAUGAUGGUUGCUAAGAGAUCCAGAGAAGUGAAAAGAAAAAUGAGACAAAGGAGGCUGAAAUAAUGUUUGCCUGGUUACUCGGAACACCAUGCAGGUACUUUGGCUUUCUUUGCCUUCCUCUUCGUACUUUUUAACAAACUGGAGAUGUUUUUUUAAACUUCUUAGUGAAUAUAAAUAUCACCAUUGUGCUACUGACCUAUUUAUAUCCCCUGGAUAUUUCUAACUGAAUCAUGACAUUCAAAAUAUAUUAAAUUUUAAAUGUUUCCAGUAUC